AAAUAAGCCUUCUUUGAUACAACAAUAUGAUUGUCCAUCUUCUCUCACCAUCUCCUCCACUCCUCUCCCUCUUUCCUCCUUUACCACUGCAACCCUUCCUCGGCUGUCCAAGCGGCGGUGAUCUUCCCUCUUCUAAAAUAAUUACACGAAAUCAGUGAAAUUAUCAGUGAGAGAGUUUUGUCUUUGUUGUGCAGCAAGCAAGCAAACUAUAACGGUAACAGUCUUCCAUUUCAAUCCUCUCAGAUCUCAAUCAAACCCUAACAAUUUUCUUCUUCUCCGGACUCCGUUUUUCUCAGAUUCAUUCAUCUCCGGUUCGGUUACUUCUCAAUUUUCCGGUGAGAUUUUACAAUAAAAUAACCCUAACUCUAUUUUGCUUCACUCCACCUAAAGUCAUUCUCCCCUUCUGCUCCGACCUUCAGUCUCGUCGUCGCGACCUUUGUCGCCGCCGUUUCGGCCUUCUGAAGGAGGAGAUGUUAAUGCUGCCAGAAGCGACGACGACAGAGAGGAUCAAAUGUUGUUGUUGUUGCGGUCGGAGGUGGAGAGUGAAGAAGAGAGUGUUAAGUUGUGUGAGGAGAUGUGUGGAGUAGAAGGGGGAGGACGUCAGUGGAGGGAGGGAGAGGGUGGUGGUUGCCGCCGGUGGAUGGAGGAAAGGGGGUGGCUGUGAUGAUGAAUGAUGAUAAUAGGAAAGAAGAAGAAGGAAAGGGUUUGCAAGUUCUAUUCCAGAGGCAUAUGUUUGCAGUGGGAGUAAUGUAAUUUUUCUCAUCAUUUGAUGUAUAAUUUAAUAGCACUAGAUUGGAAUACUAAGGCUUAAACUCAUUUUAUUUAAUUUAACAACCAUGUCAAAGUUUUCUUGAAAGAAGGACUGCACUUCCCUUAGUUUUUAUCAGAUUUAUUUAAUUUAAUUUUGUAAUAUCACUCUACCCUUAGAUUUAUGCUUCAUAUACUUUUUGAAACUAACUGUGUUAUAGUUAAUACACACUACCCCUAGAUUUAUGCUUCAUAUAAUUUAAUUUUGGGAUUUUUGAAACUAACUGAUUCAAAUAAGUAAAGCAUCUGGAUUAUAUUGUGAUUGAUCAUAUUUUAUUGGCUUCCAAAUACCCUUUUAUACUUGCCUCGAGAGGUUUUCCAGAAGGUAGAAAGGAUGGACGUUUAUGGUUGGCUUAUGAGCUAGAGAUCCUAAAAUUAGAAUGAAUCUCUUGGAAAAACUCUUUUCACCAGGCCUCAAUUCGUCAUCCAAGCUCGAGACUGGGAAGCUUUGAGUGAUGUCCUCUGGCUCAAAGAAGGCCUUGAUCAUCUUCUCUUGACAAUAUUAGUUGAUCAUAAACCUAUGUGUCAAGCUCUCUUCUUGAAACAUCGGUAAUGCAGCACAAGGUUAAUGAUGCAUCUGGAAGAGUUGAGGAUGCUCCGCUAACAUUUGAUACCCUUGCAGUUAAGCAUACUCAGUUUCUUAAUAGUAUCAGCAAACUCAAUUCUUAAUAGUAUUAGCACACUCAAGGUAAACAUACUUAUGUUCAGUGUUUUCUUAACAUGACCCUUUCUAUUAUAUUUUAAAUUUUUUUGCCCAGGUGAUCAUGUUACAUUGAUAAUGUGUCGGCUUAUGGCAAGAGUUUUGAGAAGAAUGAAAUUCUGCUCGAUAGUCUAUGGAAAUUGCCUGAUUGGAGAUAAUGAGCAUGUUAUUCCUAAAGAUCAAGCUGAAGAAACUCCUAAACUACAUUUGAUUUAAGCAUACUUUGCUCUUCAUGAAAACAAUAUAAGUGGCGUGGGGGAUGCUGAGUUCAGGGUGGGUAAAGGGAUCUUGCUCUGGAACAAUGAAUGGCAGCUGCCAGAAAUGCCUGUUCAUUUCAGGGUUCCCCAUCUGCAGCAAUUGCAACAAUUAGUUGAAGUUCAAGAGUCGGCUUGGGUCCUAAUAGACAGUUCCAAUGGAAAUAAACUCUCUGGGAAUUCAGCAGUUGGCGUGCAUGGAAACCUUUAUGCUGAUCUGAAGGAUAUCCUUGAGACAUGGAGGCUAAGAACUCUAAAUCAAUGGGAUUGUGUAUCUAUAUGGUAUGAUUUUCGGGUAUGAGAGAUCUUCUAUUAGACCUAUGCAUGACCUUUCCUUGCCCGUUUGAGCUCUCUGUUACCAUAACUGUCUCGUCUUAUGAAGCCUCUGGUAUUAUGCCUUAAGGGAAGUGAUGGACUAGUAAGUCUUGGUUUAUUAACACUAGAGGCUUUGGUAGAUAAUUUAAAUCCCGACUUCCUAGAGCCUAGUAUGGCCAAUGUCAUGUCUGAGGUGAUUAUUGCCUUGUGGUCUCACUUAAGACCAGCUCCCUAUCAUUGGGGGUGCUAAAGCAUUUCAGCUUCUUGGAAAGUUGGGUGGCUGAAACAGACGAUUCCUCAAAGAUUCUCUGGCACUUGUGUGUAAAGACUGAAGAGAACCCUGAGCACGGGCUUUUUGCCUAAUUUUAACAUUUUAGCCUGUCCCCCAUUCUUGGCGGUGCAUAAAUCUGGCUGUAGAGGCUAUAGUGCACAGAAAUUGCGGCAUGGAUGCUUUCUAUCGGAAGAAGGCUCUAAAGUUCCUUCUCGUUUGCUUAUCAUCUCAGCUCAAUUUGCAUGGAACUGUUGCUGAUGAGGGACACACAUCCUAGCAGCUGUCUGCAUUGUUUCUACGGUUGAUCAAUCAUGACGCAGGUCUGAGUCAAUUGAUGUAAAGAUAAAAACCGUUAAAGUCAUCAAUGUUUCCUUGGGAGCAGCAAAGCGGGACAUUCUGGAGUUCUUCACUUUUUGUGGGGACAUUGCAUAUGUUGAACUACGGAGUCAUGAUGAAGGAUCGCAAACUGCGUAUGUUACCUUCAAGGAUACACAUGGAGCUGAGACUGCAGUGUUGCUAUCGGUACGAUGGUGCAAAUAGAUUCUAUGAGUCUGUUGACGUACGCCAUGAGGUUAGGAAAAAUAAUGUCUCUCGACGUCGAUACGAAAAGAACCGGAGUCGCGUUCCAUGAUCCACGGUUGAUUACGCAGCCACUGCCUCGUAUAUAUGAGUAUAAUUUCUAGACCAAAUUCGAUUUAGAAUCUAUUAAUAUAUUGCUAUAUUUGAUUUGGAAUCAAUUAAUAUUCUGAUCCCAUUUAUUCAAUGCAAUAAAAUAAGGACAAGUGGUCCGACUCAUUAUCAACUAAUCUAUUCCCUCCGUUCCUACAUCUACAAAACUAUUUGACUAAAAAAAUUGUCCCUAAAUGUAAACCCCUUUUCAAUUAAAUUAAUAGAUGCAUUUAUUAUUUUGUGGCUGUUAGUUUGUUUUGUUGUUUGUAUGUUAGUGGUUUUGUAUUUGAGACUUUUUCAUGCAUGCAUGUGUAUUGUGUUAAUAUUAAACCACAUUUAAAUGGUCAUAGCAUUUCUGUCUGUUUCCAAAAUUAUCUCUAUUUCUUAAUAGAAAAAUUAAUUAUCUUACUAGACAAUUAAAUAUUAGAUAAUUAUGUAGUUUAUUAGACUUCACCGGUCCGCUUAACUUGUUUCUAUAAUUUAUUUCUCUUUCUUGUGUUUUGUCUCAUUUCUCUUUAAAAUAAAACUCUUCCUUUUAAUAUGCAAAAAAAAUCAUUUUUUACGGUUAUAAUCUAAUUCAACACCGGAGGAUAAUUAAAUUUACCCUUAUUUGUUUUUUAGCUUAAUUAAGAUGGAGGAAAGGUACAAGACACUUUGCAAAAAUCCAUUUGCUUUACAAAAUGAGAAAUGACAUGAGCUGCUAAGGUGUUCUACAGCCAUCGCUGAAGAAAUAUGAUAUUUGAAGUGUUAAUUAUAUGACUUUUCUGUCAUUAUUUUUGUUUGUUUCAGUUAUUUUCUGUCAAUUAAUGGUUCCUACAUUUUAAUUUAAUAAUUUGUGUAUAGGCAGACACAUGACAA